rnacentral:rRNA from 1 species
GACGAACGCUGGCGGCGUGCUUAACACAUGCAAGUCGAACGGAAAGGCCCUGCUUUUGUGGGGUGCUCGAGUGGCGAACGAGUGAGUAACACGUGAGUAACCUGCCCUUGACUUUGGGAUAACUUCAGGAAACUGGGGCUAAUACCGGAUAGGAGCUCCUGCUGCAUGGUGGGGGUUGGAAAGUUUCGGCGGUUGGGGAUGGACUCGCGGCUUAUCAGCUUGUUGGUGGGGUAGUGGCUUACCAAGGCUUUGACGGGUAGCCGGCCUGAGAGGGUGACCGGCCACAUUGGGACUGAGAUACGGCCCAGACUCCUACGGGAGGCAGCAGUGGGGAAUAUUGCACAAUGGGCGGAAGCCUGAUGCAGCAACGCCGCGUGCGGGAUGACGGCCUUCGGGUUGUAAACCGCUUUCGCGUGUGACGAAGCGUGAGUGAAGGUAAUGGGUAAAGAAGCACCGGCUAACUACGU